UGCUUCGUGGCGCAAUUGGUUAGCGCGUCUGACUGUUACCGUUCCGGUCAUCAGGAGGCUGUGAGUUCGAGUCUCACCGAAGCAG
rfam:Tulasnella calospora MTT 4182 unplaced genomic scaffold scaffold_96, whole genome shotgun sequence.